GAUGAACGCUGGCGGCGUGCUUAACACAUGCAAGUCGAACGAAGCACUUUAUUUGAUUUCCUUCGGGACUGAUUAUUUUGUGACUGAGUGGCGGACGGGUGAGUAACGCGUGGGUAACCUGCCUUGUACAGGGGGAUAACAGUUGGAAACGGCUGCUAAUACCGCAUAAGCGCACGGCAUCGCAUGAUGCAGUGUGAAAAACUCCGGUGGUAUAAGAUGGACCCGCGUUGGAUUAGCUAGUUGGUGAGGUAACGGCCCACCAAGGCGACGAUCCAUAGCCGACCUGAGAGGGUGACCGGCCACAUUGGGACUGAGACACGGCCCAAACUCCUACGGGAGGCAGCAGUGGGGAAUAUUGCACAAUGGGCGAAAGCCUGAUGCAGCGACGCCGCGUGAGCGAAGAAGUAUUUCGGUAUGUAAAGCUCUAUCAGCAGGGAAGAUAAUGACGGUACCUGACUAAGAAGCACCGGC
rnacentral:rRNA from 1 species